AUAGGAGUUGGUAUCUCGGGGUAAUAUAAGGAGGAUGGGAGAGGGGAAGAAAAUGCCAGACUGUGAGAGUUGUGAGCCGGGGUAAGCUUGGUGCUACCUCUUUUCUUUUGUUUAUUAUUUUCUUUGAAUAAGAGGAUUGAAAGUUUUUGAAUAUUGUGAAGUGAAUUAUGGAAUGGAAAUGUGAUUGGUAUUAUUUGAGAAGAAGAAAGAUUGAAUGUUGAAAUCUAAUUGUAGUUCAACAGAGAGAAUGA
rnacentral:lncRNA from 1 species